UACAACAGCAUUUUUUUAUGUUCAUUUACACAUUUCUCAUUUAAUAAAUUGUCUUUAUAUUGCCUCCAUCAGUGGUGGAUAAUUCCAAACUGAAUGGGACUAGGAGUAGCCUGUGGGGUGCGCCAGAGGAGCUGGAGCGCUCUCUGAGCAGUCAACGUAGCACUCUACUGGACCAGUAUCCCAGCAUGGUCAGCCAGGUAGGAGAGGCCUGGCGGCGCCAACAUAUGUCCGACGUGGCUGUAGGGGUUUUGAGGAGGUACCACAGGCUCAGGUGGUUCUCUAACAGAAACCUCAAUAACCGCAGCUUCAACAUCAGACCUGCUCACAGAAAGACUACCCUCAACAAUGGCCAAUCCUUUCUCCAAACACCUCAGAACACCAUACUGAAUGUGAGUAACCCCAAGAGUCCAAAGUUGAACCUCAAAAUGACAACAACCCACACCCAUCUUCCUCCACAGACCAAGGUCAACCUCCAGGAAUGGCCAGCAGAGAGGCUGUCCCACAGGAAGGGUACAGAUUCAGGGAACGGACAACCGUCCCACCCUGUUCUAGUGAUGGACUUCUCCUCUGCAGGCUCCAGUCCUGCCUCCUCCCCUCCCUCUGCAGCCCCUCCCUUCUUUCUGCUCCCUCCUUUGCAGACUCCUCUCCUCCCUCCUCUGCAGCCUCCCUUCCCUCUUCUCUCUCCUCUGCAGACUCCUCUCUACAGGAGAGCCCUGAGCCGGAGGAGCCCCCCUUAAACCAAACCUUCAUGGUGUCCAUGCCGUCUUCCCCAUCCCCCAGGGUUAGACAUACUACCCUGGACUUCAGUCCUGCCAGAUCUGAAGACACCUUCACAGCAGGAGGGUUGAGCAGUCCAUCUCUUAGGAAGUGUGCCCUACCCACAUUUCCCCAUCAGAGGUUUUUCACAGCGGUAUGCCCUGUGGUCUGUAUGGAGAUGUCUUCAGACUACCGCUCCCCAGUAGCACAGAGCCCCUACAGAGCCAGACUGCUGAUCUGGGACGGCCAGCGUGCAGCAUCUAACGCCCACCAUAGAAGCCCCAAGUCAGACUUUGCUGGAUAUCAUCAAAGAAACACUGUGGAGCCCAGAUCUUCCCCUGAGUCUUCACCCUCCUCUAUUCAUAGGCCUCUGAUGCCAGCCAGGAAGCCCCACCACCUGGACUCCUGUAGUCGCUCCCAGCUGAAACUCCAAUCGUCUAGAUCAUCAUCUGAUCAUGAGUCUGGGGCAGGCCAGCCAAGGCUCCGGCGACACUAUUCCCUGGAUUCCUUCUCCCCAUCUGUCAGUCUCUUACAAAACUCUGAUAAGCAGAUUGACAAGGACUUCCAGAAGCUCUACCACAAGCUUGUCUGUCAGGGCAAAUCCUCCUCCUCCUGCUGUACCUGUGAGAGGAGAGCAGAGACCACCAGAGGAACCUCCUCUUCUGCUCUGGCUGCCCUGGCCCUGUCUCCUCACCACUCUGUCAUGAGGAAGCGUCGCAGGGAGCUGGUCCAAGAACAGUCCCCAGAGUCCAAACGUUACAGGGAUAGCUCCUUUGCGUACUCCCCAGGAUCCCUCCGCCAGAGGGUAGAAAUGUUCAGGUGCCAGAACCGCUCAGGCAGCCAUUUGUCCUCCAACCAGUGGGACAUCUCCUGUGACUCCCACAACUGGAGCCCCCGCAGGGCCAGUCUGGCUCAUACCCACCACAGCCCCCACCACCAACAUCACUCAUCAAAUGUAGCAGUCAGGAAAGCUGAAGGCUCCUGGCCUGGCCUGCAUGUUGAUCAGCACUCUCCUGCUUGGGAAAGUCAAUUGUCAAGGCAGAGUGCCAAUGUGGCUGUUUGCCAAGUUUCUCUAGGAGACAACUUCUGUAUAAAUGUCAACCCACAGAAAGGCUGUCCUGUCCUGCACCUCUACCUGAGUUUUUUUAUAUGCCAGAGUUGA
ensembl:lncRNA